UCCGGCUUAUCACCGGCAGUUUCCUCAGAGUGCUCAGCUUAACCUGUUAGCAACAGAGGAUGAGGGUUGCGCUCGUUGCGGGACUUAACCCAACAUCUCACGACACGAGCUGACGACAGCCAUGCAGCACCUGUGCAUCUCCCACCCGAAGUGAAGGACUAUGUUUCCACAGUCCAUAGAGAGCAUGUCAAACCCUGGUAAGGUUCUUCGCGUUGCCUCGAAUUAAACCACAUGUUCCACCGCUUGUGCGGGUCCCCGUCAAUUCCUUUGAGUUUUAAUCUUGCGACCGUACUCCCCAGGCGGGAUGCUUAACGCGUUAGCUACGCCACUGAGGGGUAACCCCCCAACGGCUAGCAUCCAUCGUUUACAGCGCGGACUAC
rnacentral:misc_RNA from 1 species